GAUGAACGCUGGCGGCGUGCCUAAUACACGCAAGUCGAGCGAAUGGAUUAAGAGCUUGCUCUUAUGAAGUUAGCGGCGGACGGGUGAGUAACACGUGGGUAACCUGCCCAUAAGACUGGGAUAACUCCGGGAAACCGGGGCUAAUACCGGAUAACAUUUUGAACCGCAUGGUUCGAAAUUGAAAGGCGGCUUCGGCUGUCACUUAUGGAUGGACCCGCGUCGCAUUAGCUAGUUGGUGAGGUAACGGCUCACCAAGGCAACGAUGCGUAGCCGACCGGAGAGGGUGAUCGGCCACGCUGGGACUGAGACACGGCCCAGACUCCUGCGGGAGGCAGCAGUAGGGAAUCUUCCGCAAUGGACGAAAGUCUGACGGAGCAACGCCGCGUGAGUGAUGAAGGCUUUCGGGUCGUAAAACUCUGUUGUUAGGGAAGAACAAGUGCUAGUUGAAUAAGCUGGCACCUUGACGGUACCUAACCAGAAAGCCACGGCUAACUACGUGCCAGCCGCCGCCGAAA
rnacentral:rRNA from 1 species